GCAGUGCUCCAUCUGUCACCAACUGCAUUCCUCAUCGUGUAACCAAUUCGCCGUUAUGGUAUGGGCGUAUGGCGUUGUGCUCCUGUUGGUUGUUGUAUCGUUGAUGGGUGGGUCGACUGCUGGUGUAGCGAUGUGUCCUUGGUAUGGUGGAAACCGAACUACAAUGCCGCCGCCGUUCUACACAACUUACGCAACGACCAGUUCCUGCACCGAGGUCAUCAAGUACUACACUAGUAAAGCAACGGAGUUUUAGACCACAACUUACGCCGCCCCGAGCCACUACACUGAAGCAUUACUCUGUCCUGAGUUACUACACAAUCUAGGCGAUGGAGUGCUACAUGGAUACGUAUGCUGCCCAUCCUACUACACCGAGGCUCCUAAGUGCUACACCGAGGCUCCCGCUGAUUACUCCACCAUAACGGUCGAAUACUACACCGAAGCGGCAAAGUACUUCUCUGCCCUGAUCUACACAACCACAACUGAGGCGGCUAAGUAUUACGCGUCCGGAGUUGCUACGCAGAAGCUGCCCUUUCGUGCUGCUUUGAACAGAAAUACUACACUGAUGCUCCAGUCUACCAUACCACGACCGACGCUACACCUAGCUACAACACGGCAGCCCCCAAGUACUACACCGAAGAAGUCGCCUAUUACACAACUACGUACCCUGCCUAGUUUACUACAUCGAGGAAUUUAAGUAUUACCCUGCUCCUAAGUAUUCCUAAACUGAGGUUCAUAUUUAUUGCAAUUAUCUCAAUUAUGCCACCAUUACUCAUGUUGCUCCGACCAUUACACCGAAAUUCUUAAGUAUUUUUCUGGAUGUGUUGAAAGAUUUGAUGGAAUAAAAAAUGAUUGAUAAAUCAUAAGUUCAUGUCUCUAAUACAUUUACUGCUGCUGAUUACAAAUAUUCCAAAUGUUAUGUAAACUGACAAAUAAUAAAAUUUGCAAAAU